CUCCGGUGAUCCUGCCGGACCCGACUGCUAUCAGAGUGGGACUAAGCCAUGCGAGUCGACGUAGCAAUGCGUGGCGAACGGCUCAGUAACACGUAGUCAACAUGCCCAGGGGACGUGGAUAACCUCGGGAAACUGAGAAUAAACCACGAUAGGUCACGAUUUCUGGAAUGGAUCAUGGCCUAAAUCUACAUGGCCCCUGGAUUGGACUGCGGCCGAUCAGGCUGUUGGUGAGGUAAUGGCCCACCAAACCUAUAACCGGUACGGGCUCUGAGAGGAGAAGCCCGGAGAUGGGCACUGAGACAAGGGCCCAGGCCCUAUGGGGCGCAGCAGGCGCGAAACCUCUGCAAUAGGCGAAAGCCUGACAGGGUUACUCUGAGUGAUUUCCGCUAAGGGGAUCUUUUGGCACCUCUAAAAAUGGUGCAGAAUAAGGGGUGGGCAAGUCUGGUGUCAGCCGCCGCGGUAAUACCAGCACCCCGAGUGGUCGGGACGAUUAUUGGGCCUAAAGCAUCCGUAGCCGGUUCUGCAAGUCUUCCGUUAAAUCCAGCCGCUCAACGGAUGGGCCGCGGAGGAUACUACAGGACUAGGAGGCGGGAGAGGCAAGCGGUACUCAGUGGGUAGGGGUAAAAUCCUCUGAUCCAUUGAGGACCACCAGUGGCGAAGGCGGUCUGCCAGAACACGUUCGACGGUGAGGGAUGAAAGCUGGGGGAGCAAACCGGAUUAGAUACCCGGGUAGUCCCAGCUGUAAACGAUGCAAACUCGGUGAUGCAUUGGCUUAUGGCCAAUGCAGUGCCGCAGGGAAGCCGUUAAGUUUGCCGCCUGGGAAGUACGGACGCAAGUCUGAAACUUAAAGGAAUUGGCGGGGGAGCA
rnacentral:rRNA from 1 species